rnacentral:rRNA from 1 species
CUACGGGUCGCUGCAGUGGGGAAUAUUGCACAAUGGGCGCAAGCCUGAUGCAGCCAUGCCGCGUGUAUGAAGAAGGCCUUCGGGUUGUAAAGUACUUUCAGCGGGGAGGAAGGGAGUAAAGUUAAUACCUUUGCUCAUUGACGUUACCCGCAGAAGAAGCACCGGCUAACUCCGUGCCAGCAGCCGCGGUAAUACGGAGGGUGCAAGCGUUAAUCGGAAUUACUGGGCGUAAAGCGCACGCAGGCGGUUUGUUAAGUCAGAUGUGAAAUCCCCGGGCUCAACCUGGGAACUGCAUCUGAUACUGGCAAGCUGGAGUCUCGGAGAGGGGGGUAGAAUUCCAGGUGUAGCGGUGAAAUGCGUAGAGAUCUGGAGGAAUACCGGUGGCGAAGGCGGCCCCCUGGACGAAGACUGACGCUCAGGUGCGAAAGCGUGGGGAGCAAACAGGAUUAGAUACCCUAGUAGUC